rnacentral:tRNA from 1 species
GGGGUUGUGGCUUAGUGGUAGCGUAUCUGCUUAGAAGGCAGAAGGCCACAGGGUCAAUCUCUUACAUCUCCA